GGUGGCUCAGUGGUAGGGUGCUUGCCUUGCAUGCAUGAAGCCUUGAGUUCAAUUCCUCAGCACCA
rnacentral:tRNA from 1 species